rnacentral:misc_RNA from 1 species
GAGACAUACUUCCUUCGUAUCCUCAUCUUCGGCUGAUAAUGAUGAGUGCUACCCUUGAUGCUGAACGUUUUUCACAAUAUUUUGGUGGCUGCCCAAUUAUCUGUGUUCCUGGGUUCACUUAUCCUGUUAAAAGUUUCUACUUGGAGGAUGUACUUUCUAUUCUAAAAUCUCCAGAUAAUAAUCAUAUUGAUUCUGCCAUGCCAAGUGCCCCCCAAAAAAGCCACGAGCUUACAGAAGAAGACAAAGCUGCUUUAGAUGAAGCUAUCAAUUUGGCUUGGACAAAUGAUGAAUUCGAUACCCUCCUGGAUUUGAUUUAUUCUGAAGGAACCCCAAAGGUUUAUAAUCACCAUGAUUCUUUGACUGGACUAACGCCACUAAUGGUCUUUGCUGGAAAGGGCAGAGUGGGUGAUGUUUGCAUGCUUCUCUCUGUUGGCGCGGAUUGUCAUUCACAGGACAAGAAUGGACUAACAGCAUUGGAUUGGGCCAAGCGAGAAAACCAGCAAGAAACUGCUGAAGUAAUAAAAGGACAUGUUGAAAGUGCCUUGACUGACACCCUGGAACAAAAACAAUUAGUUGACAAAUACCUAGCUACAAUUAACCCUGAACUUAUUGAUUUUGUUCUUAUAGAGCAGUUACUGAGGAAGAUAUGUAUUGAUUCAAAAGAUGGUGCAGUCCUUGUUUUCCUUCCUGGGUGGGAUGAUAUAAAUAAGAC